UCAUAUGCUUGUCUCAAAGAUUAAGCCAUGCAUGUCUAAGUACAUGCCGUAUUAAGGCGAAACCGCGAAUGGCUCAUUAAAUCAGUUAUGGUUCCUUGGAUCGUACCUUACUACUUGGAUAACUGUGGCAAUUCUAGAGCUAAUACAUGCAGCAGAGCUCCGACCUUCGGGAACGAGCGCUUUUAUUAGACCAAAACCCAUCGGGCCUCGUGUCCGUCUCUUGUGGUGACUCUGUAUAACUUUGGGCUGAUCGCACGGGCUCGUCCCGGCGACGUAUCUUUCAAGUGUCUGCCUUAUCAACUGUCGAUGGUAGGUUACGCGCCUACCAUGGUCGUAACGGGUGACGGGGAAUCAGGGUUCGAUUCCGGAGAGGGAGCCUGAGAAACGGCUACCACAUCCAAGGAAGGCAGCAGGCGCGCAAAUUACCCACUCCCAGCACGGGGAGGUAGUGACGAAAAAUAACAAUACGGGACUCUUUUGAGACCCCGUAAUUGGAAUGAGUACACUCUAAAUCCUUUAACGAGGAUCCAUUGGAGAGCAAGUCUGGUGCCAGCAGUCGCGGUAAUUCCAGCUCCAAUAGCGUAUAUUAAAGUUGUUGCGGUUAAAAAGCUCGUAGUUGGAUCUCAGCUCCGGCCGGACGGUCCGCCUACCGGUGGUUACUGUUCGCUGCCGAGCGUUCAGGUGAUCUGGCUGGAUGAUCUUCACCGGGUGUCUAGUCGGCUUCUCACGUUUACUUUGAAAAAAUUAGAGUGCUCAAAGCAGGCGCGACGCCUGAAUAAUUGUGCAUGGAAUAAUGGAAUAGGACCUCGGUUCUAUUUUGUUGGUUUUCGGAACACGAGGUAAUGAUUAAGAGGGACAGACGGGGGCAUUCGUAUUGCGACGCUAGAGGUGAAAUUCUUGGACCGUCGCAAGACGAACUACUGCGAAAGCAUUUGCCAAGAAUGUUUCCAUUAAUCAAGAACGAAAGUUAGAGGUUCGAAGGCGAUCAGAUACCGCCCUAGUUCUAACCAUAAACGAUGCCAGCCAGCGAUCCGGCUGUGUUCCUCAAAUGACACGCCGGGCAGCUUCCGGGAAACCAAAGCUUUUGGGUUCCGGGGGAAGUAUGGUUGCAAAGCUGAAACUUAAAGGAAUUGACGGAAGGGCACCACCAGAAAUGGAGCCUGCGGCUUAAUUUGACUCAACACGGGAAAACUUACCCGGCCCGGACACAGGAAGGAUUGACAGAUUAAGAGCUCUUUCUUGAUUCUGUGGGUGGUGGUGC
rnacentral:rRNA from 1 species